UUGCUGCACCCUGACAUUGACUAACAGAGGGACGCCACAGCUCGGCUGCCAGGUGGCUGUCCCCACAUGCAUCCUGACGGCAGACCAGCUGAGGCUCAGACGUCCUCGCUUCCUUCCCCAAGCUGUGGAUUGGAGCCCAGCUGAGGGUCAGGCUUUGCUCACAGACCGGCCACUCAACCGCAGUCUUGCUCAACCCCCCGGCCACUGCGGCUCCUGCACGUGGAAGGUGCUGCUGAACAUCGUGCGGAGAUUAUAAAUCCUCGGCAACUCAGGUUCCUGGCUUUCAGCUUAACAAUAAUCACCUGUACUCCAAGCCUUCUAAAAUGCCAGGCACCAGGCUCAUCCCAUCACAAACACCCUCCUGCCAUCCUCAGAACAGCGGGAGGUUCACCCCUCUCCUUGCCGAGUGCAGCACAGUUCUCAGGUGAGGAUAAAAUAAAAAUAAGCUUCAAGGAAGAAAAUGAUGCCAACAGUAUGGUGUCAUUUGCAAGAAAUGAUGCCACAGGCCUCUGAUCUCACACUGGGAAACGGAAGCACUCGUCCCAUAGCCAGGUCUGGAUUCUGGGCUCCACAUCAAGGCAUCAGGAACUGGGAGAGGCGGACCCGUCUUCCCUCACAGGUGACGUCAUCCAUGCUCUAGGCAGUCUGCCCUUGUGGGAGGUGCCUGUCCCAUGGUCGCCUUGAAAACCUGUCUCUGCAAUUGUCAUUUGAAGCUCUCCUCCCUCGCAACUAGACAAACACUGGGUGGAGGAGAGAGAAACACGGGCACUACCUUAAAACUACAAGCCUGAUGUCCCUGCCACAAAAAUUCCUUCCACUUGAAGGAAGCGUGGCUGGCUCCGCCUCCUGCCCUUCAUUCCUCACACCUCAGGACAGGAGGGAGGAGAUCCUAUUGUUUGGUUAGGUCAGGCGCGCAGUACUUUUCACAUUUCCAUUUACAGAUGAGGGACAGCGGCCCAGAUGUGGAUGUGGCCUGCCCACAGUCGCUCAGCAGCCAGCGGCCACACUGAGAAGGGAAACCAGUUGUCUGGGGCGGGGUCAGUGUGUCUCUGCUGUCAGGUGUGAAUCUGUUUUUGUUUUAAGAGGCAGGCAGCGGAAGAGAAACUGGCCGACCCAAGCCUGUAUUUCCAUCCACCCACUGGUCUUCCUCCUCCUUUAUGUAAAGAGGUUUGAUUUUGUUCCAACAAAUAAGGAAGAUUCUGAGAUGACUAUAGAACCUUGCAUUUUGAUUUUAACAGAUUUCUCAAGCUCAAGUGUCACAAGGCAGUUCUUAAGAAAAAGACCAGCAUCCUCACGACAGUCAGUGAAAGAGAAAAUAGAAGAGGAAAGCAUUGAAAUAUUUCUUAUUUCAGAGAGUUUCCCCCAACUAAUGAACACCAGUUUAUAUGUUGGAAGGACUAUCUGAGUGUCCAUCACAGAAGAUGACAGGCUACGUUAUCUGGAACGGUGAUGUUUCUAAAACAUUGUGGAUAAAGAGCACAGUCCGAAAAGCUUCUAAAAAGAGGCGGGCGGGCGGGGCGCUCAAGGUCAGAUACAGAGGAGCAGGCGUCAGGAGGACUUGGGUUUCUCAAUAGUAACCCUGGAAGCUAGAACAUACGGACCCUUGCUUUCAAUAUUCUGUGCUAAAAGCAUUUUCAACCUAGAAUUUUACAUUUGGUCAAACUCUCAAGCAAGUACAUUUUCUGACAAGCCAGGUCUUAAAUAUUUGCCACCUCCUGAGAGAUGCUGAGAAUGGCCAGCUAACCUCCAUAUUUGGCUGAAGCCCAAAGCCACCAUCAUCCAAUGAGCUUUUGAGACACGUGACUACAUCAGAAAUUUUAUUUUUAAAGAAGACUACUUAUUAUGUUUUCAAUAUUCCAAGUUUCAGAGGUUGGUCUUUAAAGUUUGGAGUUAGAACCAGUAGCCAUCAUUUGUCAGCACUGGAAGCGGCUCGCUGACGCCUGUGGUCAUUGUGUUUGUCACACACAGAUGCCCACUUCCCGCUCCGGUUUGGGGGCAGGGUGGGGGGGAGAGAGGUAUUUUUAGUGUCUCCUUGCCAGUACUGCGGAGUUAUUCUUUUCUUUUCUCCACAUAACUAAGGUAAUGUUUAUUUCGUUUUCAACUCCUACUUAGAGAUUUGGUUGCUGAUGAAGAUGCUACUUAACUGAAGUUCUGUACUGUUGGAAUAUCUUCAUAACGAAACUUUAGAUUUUUGUUCUGACACCAAUUUGUACUUUUUGAAACCUUGGAUAAACAGGUGUGGAAAUAAAGUAACAAGACUAGCUUUCAGAAUAACAAUUUAUAAAUUUCCAUCUGCGUCGGAGAUUUUAUUGCCCGCAUGCCAAAUUCAGCAUUUUCCCUAGAGAAGAAAGAAAGGGGGGGUCU